rnacentral:rRNA from 1 species
CCUACGGGGGGCAGCAGUGGGGAAUAUUGGACAAUGGGGGGAACCCUGAUCCAGCCAUGCCGCGUGUGUGAAGAAGGCCCUCGGGUUGUAAAGCACUUUCAGUGAGGAAGAACGCCUGGUGGUUAAUACCCAUCAGGAAAGACAUCACUCACAGAAGAAGCACCGGCUAACUCCGUGCCAGCAGCCGCGGUAAUACGGAGGGUGCGAGCGUUAAUCGGAAUUACUGGGCGUAAAGCGCGCGUAGGUGGCUUGAUAAGCCGGUUGUGAAAGCCCCGGGCUCAACCUGGGAACGGCAUCCGGAACUGUCAAGCUAGAGUGCAGGAGAGGAAGGUAGAAUUCCCGGUGUAGCGGUGAAAUGCGUAGAGAGCGGGAGGAAUACCAGUGGCGAAGGCGGCCUUCUGGACUGACACUGACACUGAGGUGCGAAAGCGUGGGUAGCAAACAGGAUUAGAUACCCUAGUAGUC